UUCCCCCUGCCCCCCGCCUCUCCCGAGGGGCGGCCCCGCGCGCCGGCUGCUGGCGUCACUUCCGGCCAAGUCGACGCGCGAAAAAAGUCCCGGGGCAGGCUGCUCCGCUGCUGUGCUGUGCCGCCAUGGUGCUGGGCUUCCUUGCUCCCGGGUUCCUGCUAGGGCGUCUCGGCAGCCGUUCUUGCGCCGCUGUGCCGGGCUGGAGGCCCUUCUGUGGCUCCGGGGGACGUUAGGCCCCGCCGGCCGAGUUGCGUGGAUCCCCGUGGCUCGCGGCGAGGGGAGCCGCCCGUGUGGCGCGGGCACCCGGGUCCGCGCGAGUCUGGGGCUUCUCGCUGGGCCCGCGUUGCCGCUGCGCGGAGGCUGAGGCGCGCUCGCGUCGCGGUGAAGGGCGCCUGCUGCGAGCGUGGGCUCGGUCUUGGACGGACCAGGAAGGUGCUCUAGCGUCGUGCUCUGAGUUGCUCCGUGUCCUGGAGAGGUGGAGGGAAGACCUGCCCCCAGGGUGCGCCCCGGUCUCGGCUGCUCGCCGACCCUGCACUUCCAGACUGGUCGAGCCCUGCUGCUUGCUCUGCCUCUGCUUCCAGCCUCACUUGACUUACUCAUAAGAUGCCACGUACAGUGUAUUCUGUGGGUCACGGCAGUCACUUCUAGACUUGAUUAAUAUCCGUUGGCUGUGAUGUUGUCAAGUGGAGGCUCUGGGGAAUGGGUGAAUGUUCCUCCUCAAUUUAUUCUCUACCUUUCAAGCAUUUUGGUACCACACUUGGGGUCUUCACAUGGGAAGAAUGAUGGCAAGCGGAAGGUAGGAAGAGCGGUGUGAAUAGCAGAGACUGAGGUAAAGUGGAGAAACAGGGAAUCUUCCUCUGCUUCCCAUCCUUCUCAUGCCCCCAACCUCUCCCCACCACUGCUGGAGGACUGGAUUUAGAUGACCAAAGCCUCAAGAGAUCAAAGAUCUCCAUGUGCCUGCUUUGAACAACACAAUGAAAAUAGAAUCAGAAACUGGAUUUAAACUCAACUUUGAAGACAGAAAUACUUGAAAAUUUUGUAAUGAAGAAGCGAACAAUUUAAAAUGACCUAAAAUGAUGUAAUAGCCUCCUACAGGGAAAAAAUCCAGUCCAAAAAUUUGUGUCCAUUAUUUAAUGUUAAUUCUGUCACUUACAAGUUACCUACUCUUAGACAAAUUAA